rnacentral:rRNA from 1 species
AACUUUUCAGCUAGAGUAUGAUAGAGGAAAGCAGAAUUUCUAGUGUAGAGGUGAAAUUCGUAGAUAUUAGAAAGAAUACCAAUUGCGAAGGCAGCUUUCUGGAUCAUUACUGACACUGAGGAACGAAAGCAUGGGUAGCGAAGAGGAUUAGAUACCCUCGUAGUCCAUGCCGUAAACGAUGUGUGUUAGACGUUGGAAAUUUAUUUUCAGUGUCGCAGGGAAACCGAUAAACACACCGCCUGGGGAGUACGACCGCAAGGUUAAAACUCAAAUGAAUUGACGGGGACCCGCACAAGUAGUGGAGCAUGUGGUUUAAUUCGAAGAUACGCGCAGAACCUUACCAACACUUGACAUGUUCGUCGCGACUCUAAGAGAUUAGAGUUUUCGGUUCGGCCGGACGAAACACAGGUGCUGCAUGGCUGUCGUCAGCUCGUGUCGUGAGAUGUUGGGUUAAGUCCCGCAACGAGCGCAACCCUCACUUUUAGUUGCCAUCAUUAAGUUGGGCACUCUGAAAGAACUGCCAGUGAUAAGCUGGAGGAAGGUGGGGAUGACGUCAAGUCCUCAUGGCCCUUACGUGUUGGGCUACACACGUGCUACAAUGGUAUCUACAACAGGAAGCAAGACUGCGAAGUUAAAGCAAAUCCCUAAAAGAUACCUCAGUUCGGAUUGCACUCUGCAACUCGAGUGCAUGAA